rnacentral:rRNA from 1 species
AUGGUCGUCGCCCCGUCGGGGAGCGGCGCCACCGCCAACGUCGUCGCCUCGGAGGGCAUCGUCUCCGGGACGAACGGCGUCGCGUCGGAGGGGAGCGAUGGCGGCGCCUUGGAAGGCGUCGCCCCAGGGACGAACGGCGUCGCCUCGGAAGGGAGCGGCCCCGGCGCCAAGGUUGGAGGGGAGCGGCGUCGGAGGCGAGCGGCGUCGAAUUCCCUCAGCGCCAAGGCGGCCGUCCCCGUCGACAAGUGGCGCUGCCACCAGUGCCGUCAGAGAAAAAUAGGGGUCGCGACAGAUUGCAAAAGGUGCACCCAGAGAUACUGCGAGAGUUGCAUGCGUAACAGGUACCCUUUGAUUGCGGAUGAGGUGUUGAAGAAUGGGGCCUGGGAAUGCGCCAAAUGCAGGAAGGAGUGCAACUGCAGCGUGUGCCAAAAGAAGAGAGGGGAGGAGCCGACGGGGCGAAUGGUCCAUGCUACCAAGAGGCCGAAGGUCAGCCUGGUGCAAACUAAGAGCAUCAGUACUCUCAAGGAUGAAAUAGUUGUACCCAGGGGUACUCCGGUCACUUGCAUUGCAGGUAUAAAGCUGCAGUCUGAAGAUGUUGGCGCUGCUAUUCAAUUUCUGGUGUUCUGCCGCUCAUUUGGCGAGGUAAUUAUGGAAAGCAAAUAUUAUGCUUUAUUUAUCAUUUCAUGUUGCAUUGAACCAUUGAUGCAUCCACUCAUUUCUAAAUCUGGUUUACGCUAA